rnacentral:tRNA from 2 species
CGACUUAGCUCAGUAGGUAGAGCAACUGACUUGUAAUCAGUAGGUCACCAGUUCGAUUCCGGUAGUCG